ACCCUCUGGGAAUGGGCAAAGAGACACCUCAUUGGUGGUGUUGCUCUUGUAUCGGUCAGGGGAAGAGUAGAUGACAGUCUUUUGUUCAUCCUAGCUUGAUGCCUCGGUCAGUGGCCAAAGCUGUUUCAUGCCUAGGGCACAAAA
ensembl:snoRNA